rnacentral:rRNA from 1 species
CCUUGAUGGCGACCGGCGCACGGGUGAGUAACGCGUAUGCGACCUGCCCGAUACCGGGGUAUAGCCCAUGGAAACGUGGAUUAACACCCCAUAGUACUUUUAUCCUGCCUGGGAUGGGAGUUAAAUGUUCAAGGUAUCGGAUGGGCAUGCGUCCUAUUAGUUAGUUGGCGGGGUAACAGCCCACCAAGACGAUGAUAGGUAGGGGUUCUGAGAGGAAGGUCCCCCACAUUGGAACUGAGACACGGUCCAA